UUGGCACCGGCCGGACCCAAGUACCUAUAGCUAUAUGUUGCGACACCUAUUACUUGCUGUUACACUGCGUAGGCUGUAAAGUGAAUGAUGCGAUCUUGAUAAAAAAUAUGUAGUUUUGAAGUUACACUUGUUACAAGGAUCGAAGCCUUAAGUAAUCUGUGAUAUACAAGAAUUUGUAUUACGACGUACUAUAACGUUCCUGGUGAACAAAGCUUUUACAAGAAUGGAUUUAAGUGAAGUAUCAUUAGCAGCCAAUGGGAGACUAUGUUCUUUGAAAUCUGUCAAAAAAGAAACACCUAAGAAAAGGAUACCGUUGGUAAUAAAUGUGCCAUAUGUACCUCCUCACAGAAGAAACUCAAGCAGUACAAACUAUGACAAACUUGCUACCAAACAAUCAGAUUUGAACUACAGUGAUCAUAGUUAUGCAAGCCAUAAACUUCCAAAAACUGAAAAAAUGAUUUAUUCGACUAAUGAUUUAUCAGAUUAUGAUUUGUCAGUUUGUUCUAGAACAAAUACCAACUUAAAAGAAGAUAUUGCUGUACAUGAAAAGCAAACUUUUAAGUUUUCCAAUGAAAACAUUGAAAAAACCAACAUUGAAAUUAAAAGGUCUGUUUCUCAAUCUACAAUUGAAAGUGAUGAUUAUUCAGGAACUGAAAGUUUUGAGAUGUAUAACACUGCAGAAGAGUUGACUUCAGAAUCCAUAAUUUCUUGCAAUGAAGAUAAAGAAAGUGACAUUAAUGCACAGUCUCCAUUCAUAACAGAGUAUAAUGCUUCCAAUACAAAAGUUGAUUUGCCUCAAAAGUAUUUAAAUCUUCCAGUGGUUGAAAAGUAUGGAAAAACACUGAGUAAAGUUAAAAGCAAUGAUGAUAUGCAUAAUGAAGGAAGUAAUUUAUCAAUUAGUGCAACGCAUAGUAAUGGAAAAGUUUUUGACAAAGUGGAAAAAGUAAAAAAAGAUAAUUUAAUUAUUGGAAGGAUAUUGGAUUUAGCUAAUGUCUACAUGAAUGUUACAUUUAAAGUAAUGUUAACCGAACUAUACAGUAAAAAAUACAGUAAACAUAUACCAUCAACUGUAUUACAAGAAAUUAAUUUUGUUGUUUCUGUAAACAAUGAAUCAAAAAUCAAGGAUGUCACUCCUACUAAUAAAAAGAUUGUUAACAUAGGACCAAAAUUUUUAACUUCUGAGGAUAUUGGCAGUACAUUUUUGGUUAAAAUUUAUAACUGUAAGAGUAUCACAGAAAUUUGGGGGAAAAUAACGAAUGCCACUAAUCUUAAAAAACUAGAUGAGCUUUUAAAGGAAAUGAAGAAAUUUUAUGAUUCUGAAAAAAUGGUGGCAUCUAGCAUCAAAGAAGGUGGUUUCUAUGCAGUAUAUAAAGAUGAUUUUUGGCAUCGUGUAAAAUGCUUAAAGUGUGAUAAAUCUACUGCUUUGGUUUUAUUCAUUGAUCAGGGUGAUGAGUAUACUUUCUCAUUGGAAAACAUUUUUGAACUUCACAAUAAGUUUGUUUUAAUUCCUGCACAAGCUAUCAGAAUGAGCUUAUCUGAUUUAGAAGAUAUAUCAGACUGUUAUGAAGCAUUUCUAAUUUUAAACGAUAAAUUACUUGAAAAAACUGUGUAUGCUAAUAUGCUAGCUUACAAAGAUAAUUGUUGUACGGUAAAGUUAUAUCUCAAGAUUUAUGAAGAAAAUAUAAAUAUUGCCGACUUGGUGAUUGAACAAUUGUUUAAGACGUUUUUAAAUCCAAAAAGUAGUAUUCAAACAGAGGAAUUGAUGCAUGUAAAUGUUUCUUAUAUAAGUGAUAAUAAAAUCUUUGUCCAGUUAUUUAAGUCUAAUAGUUACGCAUAUUUUACGAAAUUAUUAAGAAAUGCAACAAAGUAUCUUGAUAAUAAGAACUUACAACGUGUACAAAAUUUAAAUGAGAAUGCCAUUUAUUUAGUUCAAAAUCCUGAUAAAAAAACAUGGUAUCGUGCAAAAAUUAUGAAAUUCAAAAGUGAAGUAGCAGUUGAAGCCUUACUUAUUGAUACUGGCGCAAAUAUUUGUUUGAACAAAGAGGACUUUUAUCAUCUUGAAAAAUUAAGUAGUAUAUUAACUAAAUACCCAGAACAGGCCAUAGAAAUUCAAGUUCAUGAACUGUCUAAAUUCUAUGAACAUGAAACACUUGAGCAUUUUCAAAAAUUAACGAAGUGUCCAGUUAAUCUUUUUGGGUUAUUUAUCACAAAGACAUUAGAAAAUAAUAACAUUCCCACUAUUCGACUUUUUAAGAAGGAAUCUGACAAUUCUUUAAUUCCAAUCAAUGAUAAGUUAUUGCUUAACCAAAAAACUCAAGGUAGAAGCAUGAUUAUAGUUCCACUAAACAAAACAGAAUCAUCAGAUAAUGAUAUCACGCAUAAUUAUCAAAAAAUGUUGAAAAUGCGAGAAAUGCAGAGAUCGUUAUCACUGCUGUCUCUGAGUACAGUUUUGGAUCCUCCUAAGAUUCCGAAACAUUAUUGUGGUGUGCAUAUUAUCUCUGCAGAUAAUCCAUCAAACUUCACGAUACAGCUUCUAUCAAGCAAAUGUGGUGAACUUAAGAAACUGGGAUGCGAACUUUCUGAUGCUUGUAAUUCCUAUAAAGGUUCACCACUUACUGUUAAGACUGUAAAAAUUGGUCAAUUGUAUGCUGCUAAAUAUGAUGAUUAUGAUAACAAAUGGUAUCGAGUUUAUGUUUGUCAACUUAUGACUGACACUAAAUCAGCAAAUGUAUAUUAUUGUGAUUACGGCUAUUACAAAGAAGUCAAUAUAGAAAAUAUAGUACCUUUAGUAAGUCAAUUUCAUCAGUUGCCUUAUCAAGCAGUUUGGGCUCAAUUAUAUGGUAUUAAACCAAUAUUUGAAAGGUGGACAUUAGAUGAUGCUUCCAGAUUUAAGGAUUUAACGCAGCUAAAAAAUUUUGCCUGCAUAAUCAAAAGCAAAGAAUCUUUUAAACCCCAAUGUUGUCAAACUCUGAUACCAAUAACUGUUGAAACAGUUUACAGCUUGGAACUAGUUGAUAAUAGCACCGAAGACGACAUUUAUAUUGCCGAUAUAUUAGUAGAAGAAAGGCGAGCACUAAAAUGUAAAUAAUUACCUAUGACAGAGAUUGACCUUCAUCAUUUUUUAUACAUUUGAUACACGAUCCUACAACAUUUAAGACUGAGGAAGUAAAAUGUUAUGAGAUUUGUCAAAGAAACAGAUUUAUUUUAAGUUGCAUAGUGAUUCAAUUGAGAUAUGAAAUUAGUAUUCCGUUAUGUUACAAUUGAUUCAAUUUUUAAAGAGAGAAUAUGACUAUAAGUUCACUGCUGACUGUUAAAACAUAUAUUUAGUACACUGCAAAGAAAACUUGCUGUUGCGUGUGCGUGUUUUUGAAAUAGCCACCUAUCUUUACCUGAUACGAUAUAUGUGACGCACGCGCAUAUAUAUAUACCUAUGAUAUAUAGGUAUGAUCGAAGAAUUGAAAACAUGCGUGUUUGAUUACUAAAAGAGCCAAAAAAUCGGAGUA